rnacentral:rRNA from 1 species
GACAGAGGGUGCAAACGUUGUUCGGAAUUACUGGGCGUAAAGGGCGCGUAGGCGGUUCGAUAAGUCCCGUGUGAAAUCCCUCGGCUCAACUGAGGAACUGCACGGGAAACUGACGGGCUUGAGUUCGGGAGAGGGAAGCGGAAUUCCGGGUGUAGCGGUGAAAUGCGUAGAUAUCCGGAGGAACACCGGUGGCGAAGGCGGCUUCCUGGACCGACACUGACGCUGAGGCGCGAAAGCUAGGGGAGCAAACGGG